rnacentral:rRNA from 1 species
UACGUAGGGCGCAAGCGUUAUCCGGAAUUAUUGGGCGUAAAGAGCUCGUAGGCGGUUUGUCGCGUCUGCCGUGAAAGUCCGGGGCUCAACUCCGGAUCUGCGGUGGGUACGGGCAGACUAGAGUGAUGUAGGGGAGACUGGAAUUCCUGGUGUAGCGGUGAAAUGCGCAGAUAUCGGGAGGAACACCAGUGGCGAAGGCGGUUGCCUGGGGCUUUGCUGACGCUGAUGCGCGAAAGCGUGGGGAGCGAUCCGG